GGCUGGUCCAAAGGUAGUGAGUGAUCUCAUUUGAUUGUUCAGUCAGUUACAGAUUGAACUCCUUGUGCUGCUCUUUCCCCCUUCUCAGUACUGCACUUGACUAGUCUUAA
ensembl:misc_RNA Y_RNA Y RNA